CUUUUACCACGUUCCACCUUUUCGACUUUCGAGGGAAGCUUUGACAAGGCAGUGCUGAAGAAGGAUGCUUGACUUUCUAUUCUACUGUUUUCUUGGUAUCUUGUUUACCUACAUCAUACUACUUGUCCUAAUUUUGAUGGGAGAUUGUGACCUCUAUCUACAGUUUGCUUCUAAAUUUGGAAAGAAACCAAGUAAGCAUUUUAAUUUUUUAAAACAAAUUUGUCAUAGGAUUAUUAUUUUUUUGUGUAUAGGAGUCUUGACUUACCUAAUCCCCAGCAUGCAGCCUCAUCGCUAUAAUAUAAAGGGGAGAGGUAUUAAGAGUGAGAGCAAUGCAAAAUACUUGCUUGUGUGGAUUGUUGUUUUAAAUAUUUAAUGAAAUGUACAAAUCUUUUCAGGUGCAUUGAAAGGAAAAGUUGUUUGGAUUACAGGGGCUUCGAGUGGAAUUGGUGAAUGUCUGGCAUAUGAGCUUGCGAAAGCAGGAUGUAAACUUUGUCUGUCGGCUCGCAGAGAACAGGAACUGAACAGAGUUAAAAAACAAUGCCUAUUGCAUGGAAACAUUAAAGAAGAGGAUAUUUUGGUGCUGCCUUUGGAUGCUCUGAAAUUUGAGACACAUUCUUCUGCAACUCAAGAUGUUUUGAAAUACUUCAGCAAGAUUGACAUUCUUGUAAACAACGCGGGCCGGUCUCAGCGUGCCUUGUUUGAAGAAACCUCUUUGGAUAUUGACAGAGAGGUGAUUGAACUAAAUGUUCUCGGAGUUCUCUCCCUUACUAAGCAAGUGCUCCCUCAUAUGUUGGAGAGGAAGGAAGGCCACAUUGCAGUCAUGAGCAGUAUUGCAGGAAAACUUAGUGCUCCCAGUUCAGCAUCAUACACAGGAAGCAAGCAUGCUAUACAGGGCUGGUUUUCUACCCUGGGUGUAGAGAUGUCUGACAGGAAUAUAAAGGUCACUCUUCUCUGUCCCGGACCAGUCUUCUCCAAUCUCCUGGAGACAGCCUUCACUGGCAAGGCUGGAGAGGAAUUGAAGGGGAAAAUGGAAUCAUCUGAAAAGAGAAUGUCAACUCCUAGAUGUGCAGAGUUAUGUGCCCUUGCCCUUGCCAACGGUUUAGAUGAAGCAUGGAUUGCUCUUAAUCCUGUGUUACUAUUCACAUAUAUGUUCCAGUAUUUCCCAAACCUAUCUAGGGUAGGUUCCAAAAGAAUGGGACUGAAAAUGUUGAAGAAGAUACGUGAAGGAAAAGUUUAAAAAUUAGAGUGCUAUCAUACCAAAUAUGAAAUACUUUCUAUUCUAGUGUUUGAAUUGAAUAAAUGCACAGUGCCAUGUAUUGUUGAUAUUACUUUGUUAAAUGAUAUGAUUGCAUUUGAAUUUUUUGUAUAUAACAAAAAGCUUCAUAAAUAAAGUUUCUUUUACGUGAUAUA
rnacentral:misc_RNA from 1 species